GUGAAUAAUGCCUUCCGAAAUUCCUUCUUCUUUGAGGAAGCAAAGAAGAUCUUGUUCAUACGACGGCAGUGCUUAGAGUCUGUAGGUGGCUUCACACUCCUCCUGCUGCAUUGCUUAUCCCACAUAACUGCUGAGGACUUGGCAUAUGACUCAAACCCGGUGUUCAUCAGACUCUUUCAUCAGGCUCUGAAAGCCUGUUUCAGUGAUUACUUCUUUACCCGACUGCAGCUUACAUCAUCCUAUUCUCCGC